GUUGGCGGGCGGAUCUAUACAUGCAAGUCGAGCGGACAGAUGGGAGCUUGCUCCCUGAUGUUAGCGGCGGACGGGUGAGUAACACGUGGGUAACCUGCCUGUAAGACUGGGAUAACUCCGGGAAACCGGGGCUAAUACCGGAUGGUUGUCUGAACCGCAUGGUUCAGACAUAAAAGGUGGCUUCGGCUACCACUUACAGAUGGACCCGCGGCGCAUUAGCUAGUUGGUGAGGUAACGGCUCACCAAGGCGACGAUGCGUAGCCGACCUGAGAGGGUGAUCGGCCACACUGGGACUGAGACACGGCCCAGACUCCUACGGGAGGCAGCAGUAGGGAAUCUUCCGCAAUGGACGAAAGUCUGACGGAGCAACGCCGCGUGAGUGAUGAAGGUUUUCGGAUCGUAAAGCUCUGUUGUUAGGGAAGAACAAGUGCCGUUCAAAUAGGGCGGCACCUUGACGGUACCUAACCAGAAAGCCACGGCUAACUACGUGCCAGCAGCCGCGGUAAUACGUAGGUGGCAAGCGUUGUCCGGAAUUAUUGGGCGUAAAGGGCUCGCAGGCGGUUUCUUAAGUCUGAUGUGAAAGCCCCCGGCUCAACCGGGGAGGGUCAUUGGAAACUGGGGAACUUGAGUGCAGAAGAGGAGAGUGGAAUUCCACGUGUAGCGGUGAAAUGCGUAGAGAUGUGGAGGAACACCAGUGGCGAAGGCGACUCUCUGGUCUGUAACUGACGCUGAGGAGCGAAAGCGUGGGGAGCGAACAGGAUUAGAUACCCUGGUAGUCCACGCCGUAAACGAUGAGUGCUAAGUGUUAGGGGGUUUCCGCCCCUUAGUGCUGCAGCUAACGCAUUAAGCACUCCGCCUGGGGGAGUACGGUCGCAAGACUGAAACUCAAGGGAAUUGACGGGGGCCCGCACAAGCGGUGGGAGCAUGUGGUUUAAUUUCGAAGCACGCGGAAGAACUUUACCAGGUGCUGGACAUCUCUGACAUCCUAGAGAUAGACGUUCGCUCCGGGGCAGAGUGACAGUUGUGCAUGGUGUCGUCAGCUCGGUUCGUUGGAGAAAU
rnacentral:rRNA from 1 species